AGUGAACGCUGGCGGUAGGCCUAACACAUGCAAGUCGAACGGCAGCACAGUAAGAGCUUGCUCUUACGGGUGGCGAGUGGCGGACGGGUGAGGAAUACAUCGUAAUCUACUUUUUCGUGGGGGAUAACGUAGGGAAACUUACGCUAAUACCGCAUACGACCUACGGGUGAAAGCAGGGGAUCUUCGGACCUUGCGCGAUUGAAUGAGCCGAUGUCGGAUUAGCUAGUUGGCGGGUUAAAGGCCCACCAAGGCGACGAUCCGUAGCUGGUCUGAGAGGCGGGUCAGCCACACUGGAAGUGAGACGCGGUCCAGACGCCUACGGGAGGCAGCAGUGGGGAAUAUUGGACAAUGGGCGCAAGCCUGAUCCAGCCAUACCGCGUGGGUGAAGAAGGCCUUCGGGUUGUAAAGACCUUUUGUGGGGAAAGAAAAGCAGCAGGUUAAUACCCCGCUGUUCUGACGGUACCCAAAGAAUAAGCACCGGCUAACUUCGUG
rnacentral:rRNA from 1 species